GACGCACGCUGGCGGCGUGCUUAACACAUGCAAGUCGAACGGCGUGGCGAACGGGUGAGUAACACGUGGGUGACCUGCCCUGCACUUCGGGAUAAUCCUGGGCAACUGUGUCUAAUACCGGAUAGUGUGGGAUGGGCCCGCGGCCUAUCAGCUUGUUGGUGGGGUACUGGCCUACCACGUCGGCGACGGGUAGCCGGCCUGAGCGGGUGGACGGCCACAAUGGGACGGAGACACGGCCCAGAGGCCUACGUGGGGCAGCAGGGGGGAAGAUGGCACAAUGGUCGGAAGCGUGAUGCAGCGACGCCGCGUGGGGGAAGACGUCCUUCGGGUUGUAAACGCCUUUCACCAUCGACGCGGUAGAUGGAGAAGAAGCACCGGCUAACUACGUGCCAGCAGCCGCGGUAAUUC
rnacentral:rRNA from 1 species